ACUACAUUAGAUACCCGGGUAGUCCUAGCCGUAAACGAUACUCGCUAGGUGUCGGCCACGGUGCGACCGUUGUCGGUGCCGUAGGGAAGCCGUGAAGCGAGCCACCUGGGAAGUACGGCCGCAAGGCUGAAACUUAAAGGAAUUGGCGGGGGAGCACCACAACGGGUGGAGCUUGCGGUUUAAUUGGAUUCAACGCCGGAAAUCUUACCGGGACCGACAGCAACAUGAAGACCAGGCUGAAGACUUUGCCGGAUUAGCUG
rnacentral:rRNA from 1 species